GGAAUUCUUUAGGGGACCCCACAUUAAGUGGGAUGAGUGCUUGCUUUGUUGUAGUAGCUAUGGUAACUAUUUCUUUGUUUGGGUAGGAACAAAGAAAGAGAAAGGAGAGAAAAUAGUGGGUUAGCCGUGAAAGGAAAAGAGAGUGAGAAGAAGGGUAGGAAAAGAAGAGAGAGUAGUUGAAGGAAAAAUAUUGGAAGAGGUAGUAUUUUUCUGUAUGCAUAUGCAUAUGCAUUUGUAUAGCAUACAACCUUUAAUUUAAUAGCCAUACAACCUAAUAGCCAGAAACGCCUUCCCAAUUUACUGAACCCUGCUUAUAUGUAGUUUAUAAUUGUUGUGUCUUUUUUUUACGUUUAAGUUGUAAUUUGAUGUUAGAAUUUAUUACAAUGGAUGCAAGUUUUAACUCAAUUUGAUCACAUAGGAUUUGAAUUGUAAAAAGGUCUUCUGCUGACAU
rnacentral:lncRNA from 1 species